GAUGAACGCUGGCGGCGUGCCUAAUACAUGCAAGUCGAGCGAACGGACGAGAAGCUUGCUUCUCUGAUGUUAGCGGCGGACGGGUGAGUAACACGUGGAUAACCUACCUAUAAGACUGGGAUAACUUCGGGAAACCGUAGCUAAUACCGGAUAAUAUUCUGAACCGCAUGGUUCAAAAGUGAAAGACGGUCUUGCUGUCACUUAUAGAUGGAUCCGCGCUGCAUUAGCUAGUUGGUAAGGUAACGGCUUACCAAGGCAACGAUGCAUAGCCGACCUGAGAGGGUGAUCGGCCACACUGGAACUGAGACACGGUCCAGACUCCUACGGGAGGCAGCAGUAGGGAAUCUUCCGCAAUGGGCGAAAGCCUGACGGAGCAACGCCGCGUGAGUGAUGAAGGUCUUCGGAUCGUAAAACUCUGUUAUUAGGGAAGAACAUAUGUGUAAGUAACUGUGCACAUCUUGACGGUACCUAAUCAGAAAGCCACGGCUAACUACGU
rnacentral:rRNA from 1 species